rnacentral:rRNA from 1 species
GUCCACGCUGUAAACGAUGGGUACUAGGCGUCGGGGGAGCGACCCCUCCGGUGCCGUCGCUAACGCAGUAAGUACCCCGCCUGGGGAGUACGGCCGCAAGGCUGAAACUCAAAGGAAUUGACGGGGGCCCGGUACAAGCGGUGGAGCAUGUGGUUUAAUUCGAUGCAACGCGAAGAACCUUACCUGGGCUUGACAUGCUGGUGAAAGCCGGUGGAAACAUCGGCCCCUCUUCGGAGCGCCAGCACAGGUGCUGCAUGGCUGUCGU